AGAGUUUGAUCCUGGCUCAGAUUGAACGCUGGCGGAAUGCUUUACACAUGCAAGUCGAACGGCAGCACGGGUGCUUGCACCUGGUGGCGAGUGGCGAACGGGUGAGUAAUGCGUCGGAACGUACCGAGUAAUGGGGGAUAACGCAGCGAAAGUUGUGCUAAUACCGCAUACGCCCUGAGGGGGAAAGUGGGGGAUCGCAAGACCUCACGUUAUUCGAGCGGCCGACGUCUGAUUAGCUAGUUGGUGGGGUAAAGGCCUACCAAGGCGACGAUCAGUAGCGGGUCUGAGAGGAUGAUCCGCCACACUGGGACUGAGACACGGCCCAGACUCCUACGGGAGGCAGCAGUGGGGAAUUUUGGACAAUGGGGGCAACCCUGAUCCAGCCAUUCCGCGUGAGUGAAGAAGGCCUUCGGGUUGUAAAGCUCUUUCAGCUGGAACGAAACGGUUCGCUCUAACAUAGCGAGCUACUGACGGUACCAGCAGAAGAAGCACCGGCUAACUACGUGCCAGCAGCCGCGGUAAUACGUAGGGUGCGAGCGUUAAUCGGAAUUACUGGGCGUAAAGCGUGCGCAGGCGGAUUGUUAAGCAAGAUGUGAAAUCCCCGGGCUUAACCUGGGAAUGGCAUUUUGAACUGGCAGUCUAGAGUGCGUCAGAGGGGGGUGGAAUUCCACGUGUAGCAGUGAAAUGCGUAGAGAUGUGGAGGAACACCGAUGGCGAAGGCAGCCCCCUGGGAUGACACUGACGCUCAUGUACGAAAGCGUGGGUAGCAAACAGGAUUAGAUACCCUGGUAGUCCACGCC
rnacentral:rRNA from 1 species